rnacentral:lncRNA from 1 species
UAGUAAAUCAAUAUAGAUUUAUAGUAAUAGUAAAUAAUAAGAAUAAGUAAUACAACGAUUUCGAACUCUAUUUAGAAUCAAACCACCGUACGGUAUUUUCUUUAAGUAUCUUGUAGGAUACUGUUGUUCCAGCCACAUUUCUCUUUUCGCUCUACUAGUAAUUUAAUUGGAGCUUGAACCUGAGUUUCGGUGAGGUUGAAUCCACUUUUUUCGUUCUACCUUCCUUAUUUAUUUUAUCUAAUUCUUAUCUAAUUCUAAAAAAAAAACUAAAAAAAAA